rnacentral:rRNA from 1 species
UACGGAGGGAGCUAGCGUUGUUCGGAAUUACUGGGCGUAAAGCGCACGUAGGCGGCUUUGUAAGUUAGAGGUGAAAGCCCGGGGCUCAACUCCGGAACUGCCUUUAAGACUGCAUCGCUUGAAUCCGGGAGAGGUGAGUGGAAUUCCGAGUGUAGAGGUGAAAUUCGUAGAUAUUCGGAAGAACACCAGUGGCGAAGGCGGCUCACUGGCCCGGUACUGACGCUGAGGUGCGAAAGCGUGGGGAGCGAACAGG